UACAUGAUUAGACAUCACAAGCAGACAGCCU
rnacentral:piRNA from 1 species